rfam:Ictidomys tridecemlineatus contig055311, whole genome shotgun sequence.
GGGGAUAUAGCUCAGUUGGUAGAGUGCUUGCCUCACAUGCAAGAAGGCCCUGGGUUCAAUCCCCAGCACCG